CAUUGCUUCAAGUCACGACCAGGUCUUCUGUGCUUGACAGCCACUCCCCUAAAGAGAAAAGGCAGUAUUGCGCAGGCGAUGUGUAUUUCCUUUUCGUCACACACAUUUACUAUGUUACUUGUCCGUUUUUAAAAUCUACAUUUGUGCAUGCUGCAGGGUUCCAAGCUUGAACUACCCUUGUGGCUGGCAAAAGGACUUUUUGACAACAAGCGACGGAUCCUUUCUGUGGAACUCCCCAAGAUCUACCAAGAGGGUUGGAGGACUGUGUUCAGUGCGGAUCCCAAUGUGGUGGACCUCCACAAAAUGGGGCCCCAUUUCUACGGGUUUGGCUCCCAACUCCUGCAUUUUGACAGUCCCGAGAAUGCAGACAUUUCCCAGUCUCUGCUGCAGGCAAGUAAUGGGUGUGAAAACCUGUGGUGCUGCACUUGUCUCAAGAGCCAGCCACAGAUACUACUUUUACCCAGGACAGUGUAUGACUUGUAAAUUUAGUUUAUUAUUCCAGGUCAGCCUACAGUUACACUGUCUGCCCAUUAUAUAUAUAUACACAUAUAUAUAUACACACACACACAUCUACUUUUUUUUAAUAUGACUUGUCUGCCACUCCUCAUAUUUGCUUGCUGAGGCCAGCAGGAACUCUAGGAAAUGAGGAAAGGGUGAUGAUGGCCAGGCAUGGUGGCUCACACCUGUAAUCCCAGCACUUUGGGAGGCCAAGGUGGGAGGGUCGCUGAGCCCAGGAGUUCAAGACCAACCUGGGCAAUAUAGUGAGAUCCCAUCUCUAUUAAAAAGAAAAAAGAGAAAAAAAGGGCGAUGGUGCAUUACAGGUGACAGGCACUUAGAUACACAGUCCCAGGCCUGGCCUGAGGGUUCCUGUUGGAAAUACAAGAGUUAUUGGGUUGUUUCCUUCCUUUGUUCUGGGGUUAGGACUUGGCCCUGCCAUGAACUAGCAAUAUGACUUGGUCAAGCUACUUGACCUCUCUAGACAUCAAUUCACCUGUAAGAAUUGAUGGAGAUGAUAAUAAUGCCAAAAUUAUAGAGUUGUGGUAAAACUAUGUAAUGCUGUGUAAUAAACAAUAACUCAUAUUGUUAUUACUUUUCCAGGACAAAACAAUGUUAUACAUCUGUUCCCAGCCUUUAUGGUAUAACCUUAUUUUAAUUUUUCGUAAUUAUUUUUUAUUCCGUUACUGUUAGAAGAAACCAUCAUUUCUGCCUCUUGGAACAGAAGCAUUUGCUACUAAUGACAAUAAUAGGUGAUGCUUCUCAAGGACCUUGCUGUGUGCUAGCCAUUUGCUAGGUGCAUUACAUGUAUUCAUUGGUUUUCUUAACAAUUUACUGGAUUUUCAUAACAAUCCACUUCACAGACGAGGAAAUUGAGGCUUAGCAAUGUGCGAUAACUUACUUGGGUGCUAGGGGGAAUUCAGACCUCCUUCUGAGUCCUACACAUCAUUCUUUCUUUUCAUGCCAUUUAAAUGUUCUGAGAUAAAAAUGGAUAUGACUUUGUGGGGUGUAAGGUCAACCCUGACUUCUCACUCCCUUGUUUUCCAGACUUUUAUUGGACGUUUUCGCCGCAUCAUGGACUCGUCACAGAACGCUUACAACGAAGACACUUCAGCCCUGGUAGCCAGGCUAGACGAGAUGGAGAGGGGCUUAUUUCAAAUAGGGCAGAACGGACUGAAUGACUUUCAGUGUUGGGAGAAGGGGCAGGCUUCUCAGAUCACAGCUUCCAACCUCGUUCAGAAUUACAAGAAGAGAAAAUUCACUGAUAUGGAAGACUGAAGGCCGGAAGAACACAGAAUGGCUCCUUGUAGACGUAUCCCUCCAUGUGUCCUUGAUAGGAGCUGGCAGACCUUGUACAGAACCAGAAUCCUGCCCCAUUUCAUGACUUAUUUCCUGUGGCCAUAGAGAAUUAUAGGGAACUGGACAUGCUGGAGGAUGUGGGUGUCCCUGGCUCUGUGAGUCUUCCAGGACCGUCCCACCCUGCUGACCCACAGCCCAGGCCCUUUAACCCAAAAACCCACGGCCAAGGAGAAAUCAAAGUCCUUCCUAAGUAAGAAUCAUUGCUAUAUGAUAUAUCACAGUAGAGUUGCAACUGGGAUUCUUUGUGUCUGGGAGUUUGGACACCUUCACUAGCCACAAAGCACAGGUAACAAACUGGGUCAUCGCCUGUUCACAAAAUGCUCUCUUGAUCUUAUUUGCCUCAUCUUCCUCAUGGUUGUACAGAGGAUAGCACCCCACCUUGCCGGCCUGACUUGGAGAUAUCUCCUGCUGCCUGCCUGCAGGGAGUUACCCCAGUUUCCAAAAACAGUCGCCCAGAUAAAGGAGAAAAAGGGAAAGGCAGAUGAAUGGCAUGGCUUUUACUAAAGAAAAGAUGUUGGCCUCAUACUCUGUACUCAGGGCUUAAUGAACUGGAAUCUGCAUAACUCAGAAGUCAACCCGGAAGGGAAAUGGUUAAAUUGAGCUUGUUUUUGCCUCCGAGAGCCUAAAAGCACCCGCACCCUUAUUCCACUCCCUGUCUAGAAAAGCUGUCAAGGAGUCAUUUGGAAUUGCAAAGUAGUUAUUAAGGGGUGUUAACCAGCCUGCAUUACAUCCGGAAGUCAGGACUUGGUUGCUGACUAUGAAGGGCCCUGUUUUCGAAAUCUAACAUUGCGAGUGUAAAUGGGCAAGAAGCCUCCGUUGUGCUUUUUUUUCCUCUUCAGUACAUUUUGCAACAUUAUUGCAUAGAAGAUCCCUGACCAUUUACUAGGAACCUGGUUAAGCAAGCACUAAUCUCUUUUCCUGGAGAUCAAGGAUGCAACCUCAGGUUGAGAAAGAAACAGUGUUCCCUGGGCCCAUUAGACUGCUUGCAGGGCAUCACUGCUUCCCCUGACACCCCACAACUAGCAAAAAUUGUCUUUGUCUUUGGAAAUUAUAGAGGGAUUUGGGUAUCCAGAUUGUGCAGAUGCAAACUUAGACUGUCUUGAUGCAAACUUAGAACCACAGAAAUGCUUUUAAAAUGCCUGUUUUAAGAUGGAAUUGAUGUUUUUAUAAUUUGAUUUUAGUGCUAAAUAAAUGAUUGGCUUUGUACAUGAAUAUGUUCUGUACAAGUGCUCUUUCUGACACUAGUACUACAGAUAAUCAUCAAAGCUAUCAGAAUUGUAUCUUUGAUCAUAUUUGACAGUAAUGCACAAAUCCAUGUUUUAGC
rnacentral:sRNA from 1 species